GUGGGUAUAGCGCAGUAGGCUAGCGCGCCAGAUUGUGGCUCUGGAGGCCCAGGGUUCGAAUCCCUGUAUCCACC
rnacentral:tRNA from 1 species